rnacentral:rRNA from 1 species
GAUGAACGCUGGCGGCGUGCCUAAUACAUGCAAGUCGAGCGAAGUAGCGAACGGGUGAGUAACGCGUAGGUAACUACCUAUUAGAGGGGGCUAACUAUUGGAAACGAUAGCUAAUACCGCAUACUCGUCGAUGGACCUGCGUUUUAUUAGGUAGUAGGUAGGGGAAUGGCCUACCUAGGCAACGGUACAUAGCCGACCUGGGAGGGGGAGCGGCCACACUGGGACUGAGACACGGCCCAGACUCCUACGGGAGGCAGCAGUAGGGAAUCUUCGGCAAUGGGGGGAACCCUGACCGAGCAACGCCGCGGGAGUGAAGAAGGUUUUCGGAUCGUAAAGCUCUGUUGUUAAGGAAGCGGUACUUAACCAGAAAGGGACGGCUAACUACGGGCCAGCAGCCGCGGUAAUAC